UACGAAGGGGGCUAGCGUUGCUCGGAAUUACUGGGCGUAAAGCGCACGUAGGCGGCUUCUUAAGUCGGUGGUGAAAUCCUGGAGCUCAACUCCAGAACUGCCUUCGAUACUGAGAAGCUCGAGUCCGGGAGAGGUGAGUGGAACUGCGAGUGUAGAGGUGAAAUUCGUAGAUAUUCGCAAGAACACCAGUGGCGAAGGCGGCUCACUGGCCCGGUACUGACGCUGAGGCACGAAAGCGUGGGGAGCAAACAGG
rnacentral:rRNA from 1 species